GAUGAACGCUGGCGGCGUGCCUAAUACAUGCCAGUCGAGCGAACGGACGAGAAGCUUGCUUCUCUGAAGUUAGCGGCGGACGGGUGAGUAACACGUGGAUAACCUACCUAUAAGACUGGGAUAACUUCGGGAAACCGGAGCUAAUACCGGAUAAUAUUUUGAACCGCAUGGUUCAAAAGUGAAAGACGGUCUUGCUGUCACUUAUAGAUGGAUCCGCGCUGCAUUAGCUAGUUGGUAAGGUAACGGCUUACCAAGGCAACGAUGCAUAGCCGACCUGAGAGGGUGAUCGGCCACACUGGAACUGAGACACGGUCCAGACUCCUACGGGAGGCAGCAGUAGGGAAUCUUCCGCAAUGGGCGAAAGCCUGACGGAGCAACGCCGCGUGAGUGAUGAAGGUCUUCGGAUCGUAAAACUCUGUUAUUAGGGAAGAACAUAUGUGUAAGUAACUGUGCACAUCUUGACGGUACCUAAUCAGAAAGCCACGGCUAACUACGUG
rnacentral:rRNA from 1 species